rnacentral:lncRNA from 1 species
AAAAGGAAAGGAUGUGGGUAACAGCCAAGGCGGGGGAAGGGACAGACACAGUAAGCUGGUCCAACCAAGGACCAACUCUCCACACAGAGAGGCACUGAAGCAUUCAUUUGCCAUCCAGAUAAUCUCUGUAGAGUGGUUUUCCACCUGCUGGUGACCUUCAUUUGUGAUAUCAAGAAAAGAUUAGAGUCCCUAGGAAAGCAAGAGGAUGACUCUCCAUUCCUGCUUUUUCGAGUCAAGACAAGGCUACUAGUAUUUCAGGAUGUUUCUGCAGUAGAGUGGUUUGUACAUAAGAGGAAUGAAUACUACUGUGCUGCAACAAGAACAGAAAGUCCAGAAAUCCCACUUUGAAGGACUCUGCACACAAAGAAGAAACUGCCUAAGGAGGACAAGUGGCGACUCAGAAAAUGCUGAUAUCAGAAUGUUCCGAAGAUCUACCCACUAGAAAGCCAAGGUUUUAAGGACUUGAUUUGCAAGAGAAGGCAGGAGUUUAGGACUUCAUGUGAACCAACAAAGUUUGGCAAUAACAACUUGCAAUGUAUGGAAUCACUUCCAGGAGAUAUUAAAGAAAAACAUUUGCUAUUUGCACACCUGACUGUUCUCCAAAUGAGGAGAGCUCAUUAAGAAGCCUGCUGAAGUUCUACAUUGGCUACUCCAAAAGUAAUGCCUUCUAUGUUAUUAUAUUGGCACGACAGUAGAAGUUGAACCUUCCUACCAAUAUUCCGUUACAUUUUGUUGCUGUGACAGAAGCAUUAGAGGGGCAGCCUGACAAAAUGGCAUCUGACAUGAAAGUGCAUAUGAAACAAAGGUCUGUCAUUUAAUUCUUCUAUGUGGAAAAAACUGCACCUAUUGACUUUCACUGACACUUGCUGAAUGCCUAUGGAGACCAAUCAGUGGAUGUGAGCACAGCGAGGUGGAGACUUCUUAAUUUGAAGUUGAAAUUAAAAAAAAUAAAAAAUAACUGAAUUAUGGCCUCUAAACUAGCUACAGAGGCUGUUUACAAACAGACAUUUUCCUUUUAUGAAGCUAUCUUUGAUAUAUUUUAGGUUAAGUUGUAUUUACUGGGUUUAGUCCUCUUAAAACUAUUUCAAGAUCUAAUACUUUAAUGUCUGUGAUGAGGAGAUAAGAUUGCAAACACUAUGUCCAAGAGAAAGAAAAAGCUGAACUUCAAAUCAGCCCAUCUGAUAUCAGUCUGGAGAAACACAUCACAUGAGUAGUAGAGACAUAAAGCUACUGUGUCUUUUUCCCCCUCAAAAGAGAUGUUUUUUGCCCUCUGAGUCACAAAAGCAGCUGAAGCACUAAGUUCACUCCUCACAGCAUUGGAAAAAAUGAGAAGAUGGAUAAGAAGCACUACAUUUUGACUUAAGAAAAAGGAUUUUUUUUUUUUAAUGUCAACAAUACACAAUGUCAAGAAAUUUUUAGUACCAACUGGUGUCUGCUAAAGCUAUUUAUCUGUGUUUGCCUUCCUCCUAGAAUGUAUCAGUCUUUUUUUUGUUGUUGUUUUUUAAUCCUCAUGAUAGUGUUGAGAAAGAAUGAUCAGAUUUUGCAACUCAAGUUGCACAAGCAGACCUAUGUGGUUACAAUCUUAUGAGAGAGAGGUAUGAGAAGUCAAUACCUCAAGACUGCAACUAAUUUAAACUCCAGAUGACUCUAAACACUAGUCUGGUAUCUUAUCUCUUUCAGCAGAAAGUAUGUCAGUCUGCAAUGUCAAUCUCCUGGUGCUGCAACUGUAGAAUGAAAUCCUUACAUCGACAUCAUUGAAAACUAAAAACUCAGUCUAUUUCAAUGUCAAUAUUACACAAUACCAUUCUUUCAUUAUCUUAGAAGAACAAAAAUAUUUAAAAUUAUAUCCAAUUUGAACUCCCUUUCUGCGUAUUUUGGCUGCAGUAAAAAGCAA